UACGUAGGGUGCGAGCGUUAAUCGGAAUUACUGGGCGUAAAGCGUGCGCAGGCGGUUCGUUGUGUCGGCGGUGAAAGCCCCCGGGCUUUAACCUGGGGAACGGCCGUUGAAACUGGCGAACUGGAGUGUGGCAGAGGGGGGGUGGAAUUCCGCGUGUAGCAGUGAAAUGCGUAGAGAUGCGGAGGAACACCGAUGGCGAAGGCAGCCCCCCCUGGGCUAACACUGACGCCUCAGGCACGAAAGCGUGGGGGAGCAAACAGG
rnacentral:rRNA from 1 species